CCUACGGGUGGCAGCAGUGGGGAAUUUUGGACAAUGGGCGCAAGCCUGAUCCAGCUAUUCCGCGUGUGGGAUGACGGCCCUCGGGUUGUAAACCACUUUAGUAGAGAACGAAAAGGAGCUAUCGAAUAAAUAGCUCUGCUGACGGUACUCUAAGAAUAAGCACCGGCUAACUACGUGCCAGCAGCCGCGGUAAUACGUAGGGUGCGAGCGUUAAUCGGAAUUACUGGGCGUAAAGGGUGUGCAGGCGGCUGAGUAAGACAAAUGUGAAAUCCCCGGGCUCAACGUGGGAACUGCAUAUGUGACUGGUUGGCUAGAGUGGGUGAGAGGGAGGUGGAAUUCCAGGUGUAGCAGUGAAAUGCGUAGAUAUCUGGAAGAACACCGAUGGCGAAGGCAGCCACCUGGGACGCAACUGACGCUGAGACACGAAAGCGUGGGGAGCAAACAGGAUUAGAUACCCGAGUAGUC
rnacentral:rRNA from 1 species